rnacentral:rRNA from 1 species
UACGUAGGGGGCAAGCGUUGUCCGGAAUUAUUGGGCGUAAAGAGCUCGUAGGCGGUUGUUUAAGUCGGGUGUGAAAUCUCAGGGCUCAACUCUGAAACUGCACCCGAUACUGGACGACUUGAGGCAGGUAGGGGAGAUCGGAAUUCCUGGUGUAGCGGUGAAAUGCGCAGAUAUCAGGAGGAACACCGGUGGCGAAGGCGGAUCUCUGGGCCUGUUCUGACGCUGAGGAGCGAAAGCGUGGGGAGCAAACAGG